AUUAUUUUAAGCUAUAUAUUAGGAGUAAAUAAAAUUUAUGAAAUUAAAAAAUUUUGGCGGUAUUUUAAGCUUAUUAGAGGAAUUUGCUCUGUGAUGGACACAACGCCUUAAUCUUACUUAAUUUAGUAAUUUAAAUCAGUUUGUAUACCACUAUAUUAAUUAUAUUGAAUAGUUAUACUUAAAAUUUUUUUUAAAAAAAUAUAUUAAGUCAAGGUGCAUCUAAUAAUUAUGAAUGAAGUGAAUUACAUUAAUUUUAAUGUAAUUUUUUACAUGAAAAAAUUAAUUAGGAUUUAAUAGUAAAAUACUAAUAUUAUGAGUAUUUGAAUCAAGCUCUAAAAUAUGCAC
rnacentral:rRNA from 1 species